CGGAUCUUGCAUUUGUAUUAAAAAAUAUAAUGAAUAUACAUACUUAUAUCAUAUACUCAUAUUGUGUCUAAUUUCUCGGUCAUAUUUCUAUUUAUUGGAGUGCUAGAAUUAGAAAAUGAUUGUGUUCUAACUCUACCACUACUACUUGAUUUUGGCCUAGAGAUAGCCAGCCAACCUUUUUAUAUCUGACGGAAGAUAAAAUUUAAA
rnacentral:lncRNA from 1 species